rnacentral:rRNA from 1 species
AAAUUGAAGAGUUUGAUCAUGGCUCAGAUUGAACGCUGGCGGCAGGCCUAACACAUGCAAGUCGAACGGUAACAGGAAGCAGCUUGCUGCUUUGCUGACGAGUGGCGGACGGGUGAGUAAUGUCUGGGAAACUGCCUGAUGGAGGGGGAUAACUACUGGAAACGGUGGCUAAUACCGCAUAACGUCGCAAGACCAAAGAGGGGGACCUUUGGGCCUCUUGCCAUCAGAUGUGCCCAGAUGGGAUUAGCUUGUUGGUGGGGUAACGGCUCACCAAGGCGACGAUCCCUAGCUGGUCUGAGAGGAUGACCAGCCACACUGGAACUGAGACACGGUCCAGACUCCUACGGGAGGCAGCAGUGGGGAAUAUUGCACAAUGGGCGCAAGCCUGAUGCAGCCAUGCCGCGUGUAUGAAGAAGGCCUUCGGGUUGUAAAGUACUUUCAGCGGGGAGGAAGGUGUUGUGGUUAAUAACCGCAGCAAUUGACGUUACCCGCAGAAGAAGCACCGGCUAACUCCGUGCCAGCAGCCGCGGUAAUACGGAGGGUGCAAGCGUUAAUCGGAAUUACUGGGCGUAAAGCGCACGCAGGCGGUCUGUCAAGUCGGAUGUGAAAUCCCCGGGCUCAACCUGGGAACUGCAUUCGAAACUGGCAGGCUUGAGUCUUGUAGAGGGGGGUAGAAUUCCAGGUGUAGCGGUGAAAUGCGUAGAGAUCUGGAGGAAUACCGGUGGCGAAGGCGGCCCCCUGGACAAAGACUGACGCUCAGGUGCGAAAGCGUGGGGAGCAAACAGGAUUAGAUACCCUGGUAGUCCACGCCGUAAACGAUGUCUACUUGGAGGCUGUGCCCUUGAGGCGUGGCUUCCGGAGCUAACGCGUUAAGUAGACCGCCUGGGGAGUACGGCCGCAAGGUUAAAACUCAAAUGAAUUGACGGGGGCCCGCACAAGCGGUGGAGCAUGUGGUUUAAUUCGAUGCAACGCGAAGAACCUUACCUGGUCUUGACAUCCACGGAAGGUCUCAGAGAUGAGACUGUGCCUUCGGGAACCGUGAGACAGGUGCUGCAUGGCUGUCGUCAGCUCGUGUUGUGAAAUGUUGGGUUAAGUCCCGCAACGAGCGCAACCCUUAUCCUUUGUUGCCAGCGGUCAGGCCGGGAACUCAAAGGAGACUGCCAGUGAUAAACUGGAGGAAGGUGGGGAUGACGUCAAGUCAUCAUGGCCCUUACGACCAGGGCUACACACGUGCUACAAUGGCGCAUACAAAGAGAAGCGACCUCGCGAGAGCAAGCGGACCUCAUAAAGUGCGUCGUAGUCCGGAUUGGAGUCUGCAACUCGACUCCAUGAAGUCGGAAUCGCUAGUAAUCGUGGAUCAGAAUGCCACGGUGAAUACGUUCCCGGGCCUUGUACACACCGCCCGUCACACCAUGGGAGUGGGUUGCAAAAGAAGUAGGUAGCUUAACCUUCGGGAGGGCGCUUACCACUUUGUGAUUCAUGACUGGGGUGAAGUCGUAACAAGGUAACCGUAGGGGAACCUGCGGUUGGAUCACCUCCUUACCUUAAAGAAGC